AUGCACUUUCCUCCAUUUCAUCCAUGGACCGAGGCAAGCUGGCACGGCUGCACAGAGGUUUUUGGGACAGGUGCGCGGACAAGAGGCAUUGUGGUCUGCUUAUUUCUGCAAAUAGCGGCGCUUAAAUUUAGUGGAAUGCACAAGCCUUUCAGCUGGUCAGUACACUGCAUGGUUCAGUUCAGCAUUCCAGCUGAGAACACAAUUAUAAUUGGUUAUUCUGGAAUGAGAGAACCUAACCCUGGAUGGUGGCAACACGAAAAAACCAGAGUGAACUCCAGGAAAUUUAAGCCUGCCGGGAGGCCCUUUGCUCAGAGAAGCCUUGCUUGUUUUUUUUCCUGA
rnacentral:rRNA from 1 species